UGCUGCAGAAGUGCUCACAUCAACUGCUACAGUGUUCACUGCUAAUGUGGAUUAAUGCGUCCUGUCUGCCUGCAGCUCCCGCAGACACCCGCUCGUAUAGACAAAAGUAAUUAAGAUGAAUAAUCGGGAUUUAAAGAGCCUUUGUUUGCAUUAUUGCUAAAUUUCCAGGAUAAGGACACAGUUUGUGGGAGCUUUACAUGAGCGUGUGAGGCAAUUUGCUGUGCGAAUGUUAUUGUUCAAGGCUAACUAGCUAGUAAAACAAUAGGCGUGAUGUGUCAUAGCGAAUGAGGGUCAGGAGGCAAGGUUGAGAGCUCCUGGGUGUAUCUGCAGAGGAGGAAACAGAGGAGCUGCCGCCUCACACACCUGCUGGACCCGCCGGGCCGGCGGUCCUGGUCCACACCAAGAGACGCUUCACACCAGGAUUCAGGGAAACGCUGUCCAACGUUAACCUUCAUCCACAUCUAAAUGAGGAUUCGUCUCCUGGGCUGAGUGCAGUUUGUCCUCUGAGCUGGUGACCAGCAGGGGGCGCAGCACUACACCAGUCCAGCACACUGUCAACAAGCUGACUGUAACGGAUGAAGUGAUUCUGACCACGGUGAAUAAAUACCAGGGUGGGCAUGUUCCGGGCCUGCACGCCUGUUUGUUCUGGUUCUGAUCCGCUCUGAACAUAUUU